rnacentral:rRNA from 1 species
AUUGAACGCUGGCGGCAUGCCUUACACAUGCAAGUCGAACGGUAACAGGUCUUCGGAUGCUGACGAGUGGCGAACGGGUGAGUAAUACAUCGGAACGUGCCUAGUAGUGGGGGAUAACUACUCGAAAGAGUGGCUAAUACCGCAUGAGAUCUACGGAUGAAAGCAGGGGAUCGCAAGACCUUGUGCUACUAGAGCGGCCGAUGGCAGAUUAGGUAGUUGGUGGGAUAACAGCUUACCAAGCCGACGAUCUGUAGCUGGUCUGAGAGGACGGUGGGCCACACUGGGGCUGAGAAGCGGCCCAGACUCCUGCGGGAGGCGGCAGUGGGGAAUUUUGGACAAUGGGCGCAAGCCUGAUCCAGCAACGCCGCGUGCAGGAUGAAGGCCUUCGGGUUGUAAACUGCUUUUGUACGGAACGAAAAGCCCCGGGUUAAUACCCUGGGGUCAUGACGGUACCGUAAGAAUAAGCACCGGCUAACUACGUGCCAGCCGCCGCCGUAA